rnacentral:rRNA from 1 species
AACGAACGCUGGCGGCAGGCUUAACACAUGCAAGUCGAGCGCCCCGCAAGGGGAGCGGCAGACGGGUGAGUAACGCGUGGGAAUCUACCCAUCUCUACGGAAUAACGCAUGGAAACGUGUGCUAAUACCGUAUACGUCCUUCGGGAGAAAGAUUUAUGGGAGAUGGAUGAGCCCGCGUUGGAUUAGCUAGUUGGUGGGGUAAAGGCCUACCAAGGCGACGGUCCAUAGCUGGUCUGAGAGGAUGAUCGGCCACACUGGGACUGAGACACGGCCCAGACUCCUACGGGAGGCAGCAGUGGGGAAUAUUGGACAAUGGGCGCAAGCCUGAUCCAGCCAUGCCGCGUGAGUGAUGAAGGCCCUAGGGUUGUAAAGCUCUUUCACCGGUGAAGAUAAUGACGGUAACCGGAGAAGAAGCCCCGGCUAACUUCGUGCCAGCAGCCGCCGUAACAC